rnacentral:tRNA from 1 species
UCCGCGGUAGCUCAGCUGGUAGAGCAAGCGACUGUUAAUCGCUAGGUCACAGGUUCGAGCCCUGUCCGCGGAGCCA